rnacentral:rRNA from 1 species
UACGGGGGGGGUAAGCGUUGUUCGGAAUUACUGGGCGUAAAGGGCUCGUAGGCGGCCAACUAAGUCAGACGUGAAAUCCCUCGGCUUAACCGGGGAACUGCGUCUGAUACUGGAUGGCUUGAGAUUGGGAGAGGGAUGCGGAAUUCCAGGUGUAGCGGUGAAAUGCGUAGAUAUCUGGAGGAACACCGGUGGCGAAGGCGGCAUCCUGGACCAACACUGACGCUGAGUGAGCGAAAGCCAGGGGAGCAAACGGG